UGUUGUUACAAGAACAACAUUUUGAAAAAGGAUUGUUAGGUGUUGACUGCAGAUUUUCAUUUUGUCAUAGAUACGCAAUAUUCAU